rnacentral:rRNA from 1 species
GAUGAACGCUAGCGAUAGGCUUAACACAUGCAAGUCGAGGGGCAGCACAUGAGUGGCAACACGAUGGUGGCGACCGGCGCACGGGUGAGUAACACGUAUGCAACCUGCCCAUAACUGGGGGAUAACCCGUCGAAAGGCGGACUAGUACCGCAUGACAACGUUGAUCCGCAUGGUGAGACGUUUAAAGAUUUAUCGGUUAUGGAUGGGCAUGCGUUCCAUUAGAUAGUUGGUAGGGUAACGGCCUACCAAGUCUGCGAUGGAUAGGGGUUCUGAGAGGAAGGUCCCCCACACUGGUACUGAGACACGGACCAGACUCCUACGGGAGGCAGCAGUGAGGAAUAUUGGUCAAUGGGCGAGAGCCUGAACCAGCCAAAUCGCGUGAAGGAUGAAGGUAUUAUGUAUUGUAAACUUCUUUUGUCAGGGAAUAAAGUGCGGGACGUGUCCCGUUUUGUAUGUACCUGAAGAAUAAGGAUCGGCUAACUCCGUGCCAGCAGCCGCGGUAAUACGGAGGAUCCAAGCGUUAUCCGGAUUUAUUGGGUUUAAAGGGUGCGUAGGCGGACCUUUAAGUCAGCGGUGAAAGUUCCCGGCUCAACCGGGGAAUUGCCGUUGAAACUAUUGGUCUUGAGUGUAGAUGAGGUGGGCGGAAUUCGUAGUGUAGCGGUGAAAUGCUUAGAUAUUACGAAGAACUCCAAUUGCGUAGGCAGCUCACUAGGCUACAACUGACGCUGAGGCACGAAGGUGCGGGGAUCAAACAGGAUUAGAUACCCUGGUAGUCCGCACAGUAAACGAUGAAUACUAACUGUUUGCGAUACACAGCAAGUGGUACAGUGAAAACGUUAAGUAUUCCACCUGGGGAGUACGCCGGCAACGGUG